UGGGUGGUAAUGCCGGAUGCUCCAGUUGAUCGCAUGGUCUUCUGGGAAAGCUUUCGCGGUAUGGGAUGGGGUCGCGUCCUAUCAGCUUGACGGCGGGGUAACGGCCCACCGUGGCUUCGACGGGUAGCCGGCCUGAGAGGGCGACCGGCCACAUUGGGACUGAGAUACGGCCCAGACUCCUACGGGAGGCAGCAGUGGGGAAUAUUGCACAAUGGGCGCAAGCCUGAUGCAGCGACGCCGCGUGAGGGAUGGAGGCCUUCGGGUUGUAAACCUCUUUUAUCGGGGAGCAAGCGAGAGUGAGUUUACCCGUUGAAUACGCACCGGCUAACUACGUGCCAGCAGCCGCGGUAAUACGUAGGGUGCAAGCGUUAUCCGGAAUUAUUGGGCGUAAAGGGCUCGUAGGCGGUUCGUCGCGUCCGGUGUGAAAGUCCAUCGCUUAACGGUGGAUCCGCGCCGGGUACGGGCGGGCUUGAGUGCGGUAGGGGAGACUGGAAUUCCCGGUGUAACGGUGG
rnacentral:rRNA from 1 species